rnacentral:lncRNA from 1 species
AAAAUGCAGCCGCUGCACAGCCAAAGCCGGAACUGUCAGGGAACUGAAGCCCCCUGGCCCUGAACCAAAUCCCGGCACAGGAAAGCCAGGCUGUUUCUUACAGGAAACCCCAUCCAGCGAAUGCCCACUGCUGCCAGUGCCUGUGCGCACCCCGGAGACGCAUCAGACAACCAGCAAAACCAGGCCCAUUGGACUUCACAGAUCUCUCCUGGUGCAGCCGGUUCGGAACCUUGUGGAGUUGGCUGCCUGCCCGAGAAACACAUGUGCAAUCCCACCCUUCCUCAACCAACCUACACACUGAAUGUACAUGCCAACUAGAUGCCACGUGAGUGAUAUACUCAGACAAGAGAGGAUGCUGUCCCU